UACGUAGGGUGCGAGCGUUAAUCGGAAUUACUGGGCGUAAAGCGUGCGCAGGCGGUUUUGUAAGUCUGAUGUGAAAUCCCCGGGCGUCAACCUGGGAAGUUGCAUUGGUAGACUGCAAGGCUAGAAUCUGGCAGAGGGGGGUAGGAAUUCCACGUGUAGCAGUGAAAUGCGUAGAUAUGUGGAGGAACACCGAUGGCGAAGGCAGCCCCCUCGGGUCAAGAUUGACGCUCAUGCACGAAAGCGUGGGGAGC
rnacentral:rRNA from 1 species